CAGGCAUGAGCCACGGUGCCCAGCCCUUAUGCUAACUUCUGAUGGAGAAGUUAGAGAAGUUCUUGCUCCAGGCCUCACAGUGGGUGGUACGUGGUAGAGCCCUCCUCUCCCACUACUUCCCCCAAAUUGCUUUCACCAUGAGCCAAGGCUUCAAAACCUUUGCUUCACAUUUUGGCUUAAGGUGAUCUAACCUCAGAGCUCACCACUCGGCCACAUCAGCCACUGUCAGGUUCAAGGUACGCUUCACCGUGCACUGGCCUGUUCUCCUGGCCUGGUGUCCAUGGCUCGGACCACGUCCUCCUCUGGAAUAGCCCAUCUCCAGGUUUGUUGUCAGCCAGAAUUCCCGACUUCUCCCACAGCAAACACUUCCUCCUGGUUUCAGCUCCCCCGUGGUCUCCUCUCCCCAGCUCCUUCCUCGUUUUCCGCUCCUUAUUUCCCUUCAUUGACUGCCAGAAUGAGGCACAGAGGAGCCCCAGGAAAGGGGCCUGACACUUGGCUCCACCCUGGGCUGCAAUAUGUUGCUUCAGUUAUUCCUCACUUUAAUUCCCUUCUUAUGAGAAACUGAAGCCCAGACAGGAAUAUUAAGAAAGUUGUCACCCCAUAAAUACACACAAUUAUUAUUUGUCCCUAAAAAAUAAAUUUGCCAUAAGUGCUAUAAGGUCACCUAGCCAGAAAAUACUGGAACAGAAUUGCCUUCACAUCAGAUUUCAGAGCAAGCGAGACUAGCUAAAGAGACAGCAUAUCAGGGAAUGAUCAGGAGGGAAGCUUAUGGUGCAGAGACCAGGAGGGUAUCCAGAAAAUGUGAAACAGUGGAGAGGGUAAUGGAAUCAAAACCAUGUUUGGCUGGAGGGACACUAGAAAUCUGGGUACCCUGAAUUGUGAAGACAUGGUAGGGGUGGGGGCAUCUUAGGCGUUUGAGAUUAGUGCUGGACACAUCCCUGC
rnacentral:lncRNA from 1 species